rnacentral:rRNA from 1 species
GAUGAACGCUGGCGGCGUGCCUAAUACAUGCAAGUCGAGCGAAGCGGGGACGGGUGAGUAACACGUGGAUAACCUCCUAUAAUACUGGGAUAACUUCGGGAAACCGGAGCUAAACCGGAUACUUAUAGAUGGAUCCGCGCUGCAUUAGAUAGUAGGUAGGGUAACGGCUUACCGAGGCAACGAUGCAUAGCCGACCUGAGAGUGUGAGGGGCCACACUGGUACGGAGACACGGUGCAGUGUCCUACAGACGGCAGCAGUAGGGAAUCAGCCGCAAUGGGCGAAAGCGUGACGGAGCAACGCCGCGUGAGUGAUGGGGGUCUUCGGAUCGUAAAACUGUGUUAUUAGGGAAGCGGUACCUAGUCGGAAGGCCACGGCUAGCUACGUACCAGCAGCCGCGGUAAUAC